UCAGAGCUAGUGAAUCAAGAAAGUUGAAAUUUGCAGAGUGUAUUGUUCAAGUUUCUUUGCCAUGCAAUAAGAGGGUGCAUCAAGAUGUCCCAACCAGAUGGAACUCUACAUUUGUGAUGCUGGAUAGUGCACUUGAAUAUAAGCUUGCCUUUCAUCAGUUGCACGUGGUCUUGUUAUGUACUAGGGACUGGUUAUAUGGAGUAACAUCUUCUGAAGAUGAAGAAGAUAGAGAAAGACUGAGUAUUGACUUUGCACCUUUAGUUGCUAAACUUACUAACCUUCAUGUUUAGGAAUCUUCUCUGUUUUGUGUUGAGCCAGCAGCAAACUU